rnacentral:rRNA from 1 species
ACUCUAAGCGGUGGAUCACUCGGCUCAUGGGUCGAUGAAGAACGCAGCAAACUGUGCGUCAUCGUGUGAACUGCAGGACACAUGAACAUCGACAUUUUGAACGCAUAUCGCAGUCCAUGCUGUUAUGUACUUUAAUUAAUUUUAUAGUGCUGCUUGGACUACAUAUGGUUGAGGGUUGUAAGACUAUGCUAAUUAAGUUGCUUAUAAAUUUUUAUAAGCAUAUGGUAUAUUAUUGGAUAAAUAUAAUAAUUUUUAUUCAUAAUAUUAAAAAAUAAAUGAAAAACAUUAUCUCACAUUUGAAUGUGAAAAACGAAGAGAAAUAUUUUCUUUUUCAAUCAAAUAAUACUGAGAAAUGUCUAGCAUAAAAAAUUGAAAUAUUUUUCAUCUAGAAUUGUCUCUUAUUAAUGAUUCGGAAAUAGAAAAAUCUUGGUUAUGUUAUUAUUCUUCGUUGGUUCGUUAAAAAUGGAUAAAUAAAAACUUUGCAUACAAGAAUUAAUAAAAAUGUUAUAACGAAUUUAAUUAAAUGUUUUAUCAUUAUAUAUAAAGAAUUUAUGGCAAGAUAAAGUUAUAUACAACCUCAACUCAUAUGGGACUACCCCCUGAAUUUAAGCAUAUUAAUUAGGGGAGGAAAAGAAACUAACAAGGAUUUUCUUAGUAGCGGCGAGCGAAAAGAAAACAGUUCAGCACUAAGUCACUUUGUCUAUAUGGCAAAUGUGAGAUGCAGUGUAUGGAGCGUCAAUAUUCUAGUAUGAGAAAUUAACGAUUUAAGUCCUUCUUAAAUGAGGCCAUUUACCCAUAGAGGGUGCCAGGCCCGUAUAACGUUAAUGAUUACUAGAUGAUGUUUCCAAAGAGUCGUGUUGCUUGAUAGUGCAGCACUAAGUGGGUGGUAAACUCCAUCUAAAACUAAAUAUAACCAUGAGACCGAUAGUAAACAAGUACCGUGAGGGAAAGUUGAAAAGAACUCUGAAUAGAGAGUUAAACAGUACGUGAAACUGCUUAGAGGUUAAGCCCGAUGAACCUGAAUAUCCGUUAUGGAAAAUUCAUCAUUAAAAUUGUAAUAUUUAAAUAAUAUUAUGAGAAUAGUGUGCAUUUUUUCCAUAUAAGGACAUUGUAAUCUAUUAGCAUAUACCAAAUUUAUCAUAAAAUAUAACUUAUAGUUUAUUCCAAUUAAAUUGCUUGCAUUUUAACACAGAAUAAAUGUUAUUAAUUUGAUAAAGUGCUGAUAGAUUUAUAUGAUUACAGUGCGUUAAUUUUUCGGAAUUAUAUAAUGGCAUAAUUAUCAUUGAUUUUUGUGUUUAUUAUAUGCACUUGUAUGAUUAACAAUGCGAAAGAUUCAGGAUACCUUCGGGACCCGUCUUGAAACACGGACCAAGGAGUCUAACAUAUGUGCAAGUUAUUGGGAUAUAAACCUAAUAGCGUAAUUAACUUGACUAAUAAUGGGAUUAGUUUUUUAGCUAUUUAUAGCUAAUUAACACAAUCCCGGGGCGUUCUAUAUAGUUAUGUAUAAUGUAUAUUUAUAUUAUUUAUGCCUCUAACUGGAACGUACCUUGAGCAUAUAUGCUGUGACCCGAAAGAUGGUGAACUAUACUUGAUCAGGUUGAAGUCAGGGGAAACCCUGAUGGAAGACCGAAACAGUUCUGACGUGCAAAUCGAUUGUCAGAAUUGAGUAUAGGGGCGAAAGACCAAUCGAACCAUCUAGUAGCUGGUUCCUUCCGAAGUUUCCCUCAGGAUAGCUGGUGCAUUUUAAUAUUAUAUAAAAUAAUCUUAUCUGGUAAAGCGAAUGAUUAGAGGCCUUAGGGUCGAAACGAUCUUAACCUAUUCUCAAACUUUAAAUGGGUAAGAACCUUAACUUUCUUGAUAUGAAGUUCAAGGUUAUGAUAUAAUGUGCCCAGUGGGCCACUUUUGGUAAGCAGAACUGGCGCUGUGGGAUGAACCAAACGUAAUGUUACGGUGCCCAAAUUAACAACUCAUGCAGAUACCAUGAAAGGCGUUGGUUGCUUAAAACAGCAGGACGGUGAUCAUGGAAGUCGAAAUCCGCUAAGGAGUGUGUAACAACUCACCUGCCGAAGCAACUAGCCCUUAAAAUGGAUGGCGCUUAAGUUGUAUACCUAUACAUUACCGCUAAAGUAGAUGAUUUAUAUUACUUGUGAUAUAAAUUUUGAAACUUUAGUGAGUAGGAAGGUACAAUGGUAUGCGUAGAAGUGUUUGGCGUAAGCCUGCAUGGAGCUGCCAUUGGUACAGAUCUUGGUGGUAGUAGCAAAUAAUCGAAUGAGACCUUGGAGGACUGAAGUGGAGAAGGGUUUCGUGUGAACAGUGGUUGAUCACGAGUUAGUCGGUCCUAAGUUCAAGGCGAAAGCCGAAAAUUUUCAAGUAAAACAAAAAUGCCUAACUAUAUAAACAAAGCGAAUUAUAAUACACUUGAAUAAUUUUGAACGAAAGGGAAUACGGUUCCAAUUCCGUAACCUGUUGAGUAUCCGUUUGUUAUUAAAUAUGGGCCUCGUGCUCAUCCUGGCAACAGGAACGACCAUAAAGAAGCCGUCGAGAGAUAUCGGAAGAGUUUUCUUUUCUGUUUUAUAGCCGUACUACCAUGGAAGUCUUUCGCAGAGAGAUAUGGUAGAUGGGCUAGAAGAGCAUGACAUAUACUGUUGUGUCGAUAUUUUCUCCUCGGACCUUGAAAAUUUAUGGUGGGGACACGCAAACUUCUCAACAGGCCGUACCAAUAUCCGCAGCUGGUCUCCAAGGUGAAGAGUCUCUAGUCGAUAGAAUAAUGUAGGUAAGGGAAGUCGGCAAAUUAGAUCCGUAACUUCGGGAUAAGGAUUGGCUCUGAAGAUUGAGAUAGUCGGGCUUGAUUGGGAAACAAUAACAUGGUUUAUGUGCUCGUUCUGGGUAAAUAGAGUUUCUAGCAUUUAUGUUAGUUACUUGUUCCCCGGAUAGUUUAGUUACGUAGCCAAUUGUGGAACUUUCUUGCUAAAAUUUUUAAGAAUACUAUUUGGGUUAAACCAAUUAGUUCUUAUUAAUUAUAACGAUUAUCAAUUAACAAUCAAUUCAGAACUGGCACGGACUUGGGGAAUCCGACUGUCUAAUUAAAACAAAGCAUUGUGAUGGCCCUAGCGGGUGUUGACACAAUGUGAUUUCUGCCCAGUGCUCUGAAUGUCAAAGUGAAGAAAUUCAAGUAAGCGCGGGUCAACGGCGGGAGUAACUAUGACUCUCUUAAGGUAGCCAAAUGCCUCGUCAUCUAAUUAGUGACGCGCAUGAAUGGAUUAACGAGAUUCCUACUGUCGUUGGAGCAUUGGCGCGUGUGCUUCGAGCCGACUGGGGCUUCAGUCCUCGAGCCAGGCGGACCAUAUAUGACGGACUCAUGGCACCUUGUGUGCUGU